rnacentral:rRNA from 1 species
UGGGGAAUAUUGCGCAAUGGGCGAAAGCCUGACGCAGCAACGCCGCGUGGGUGAUGAAGGCCUUCGGGUCGUAAAGCCCUGUCAACAGGGAAGAAACCUCGGGGAGCGAAUAGGUCUCCGGAUUGACGGUACCUGUGGAGGAAGCACCGGCUAACUCCGUGCCAGCAGCCGCGGUAAAACGGAGGGUGCAAGCGUUGUUCGGAAUUACUGGGCGUAAAGCGCGUGCAGGUGGCUUUUUAAGUUUCGUGUGAAAUCCCUCGGCUUAACCGGGGAACGGCACGGAAAACUGGAAGGCUUGAGGAUGGGAGAAGAGGGCGGAAUUCCCAGUGUAGAGGUGAAAUUCGUAGAUAUUGGGAGGAACACCGGCGGCGAAAGCGGCUCUCUAGACCAUUUCUGACACUCAUACGCGAGAGCGUGGGUAGCAAACAGG